UUAGCUUUUUCCUUGAACACUUCAAAGCAGUAUUUUCUUGCUGUCAGCCUCUAAAAAACCCAGGGGUAAGUGCUCCUAGAUCAAGUUACUUUUUCUCAGCCAAACCCAUUUCAUAAAGUUGCUAGGACACUAGAAUUCCCCUAAGUUUCUUGUAGGAAGGAUAAGAUCCAAUGUAUGAAAUAGAAAAUUACCACAUGCUUUGCAUAUAGAAGAUUCAAGGUUCAAUUUCUAGCAUCUCUAUGCAGGGCUGGGAAAGAAUGCUGUUUGAAAUGCUGUGGUUAAAAUCUAAACUAUGGUUUGUUUAAAUUAAGCUAACUUCAAACUGUGGUUUAUGAAGUUGCCUUGUUUCAAACAAACCACAGUCAAAAUUAACCACAAUUUAGGAGUCAGAUGUAAUGCUAAACUGAUAAAUGAAAGCUUCCAAUCACUUCAUUGUAGUCACACUGGAAGAGGAGAGGGAGUUAGAAAGCCCUGGAAUUUAAGGAUCAUCUAGGGUCAUUCUCAUCAAGAUAAACUAUGGUUCAGCAUGAUACCUAAAUACAACCAGUGUCAACUUUGACUGACACCAGCUCUCUAUGGUCUCAGACAGCAGUGCCCAUCUCCUGCUACCCAUGAUCAUUCUAACUGGAAGUACCAGGGAUUGAAUGAAGAUUUUAUGCCUUCCAAGUAUGUGCUCUAUCACAGAGCUAUGGCACUUCACCUACUAUUUCCCAUUUAUGUGAAUAAUGUUAACAAAAACACUUCCUUGAAGCAUCAGCCAUACAACACUAGUGAUCAAAGGUUUCAGCAAUUGGUGCACAGCAAACAGUAUGGUAUCAGGACUUCAUAUAUCAUUUAUUAUAGCCAGCCUCUUAUUUUCUGCUGUUGGCCCACUGAAGUUGGGAUGGGUGGCUUUUUAACCUUUGUAUAACACCAAAAUGGUCCCAAUCGCCAUAGCUAGACCAAUGUAAAUACGAGCACAAAUAAAGGUGUGCAUGAUACUCAUUUGACAGUCUGGCUUUACCCAAAAAAGUCUAAGUUAAAGAGGUUUCUAUUAACACAGUUAAAAACUCACACUGAAAUAUGUUAUAUUAUGUGUCAUAGUUGCCUUUGACUGGACUAAACCAUCCAGGGGUCCUUUACCUUUUACCAUAGUAACUGGCACAUUAACACUAUUAUUCACCAGUAAAAUGAUUGCAACAUACAUCAGUGAGGUCCCGGUUAUUCAGAAGCAACAUUAGACAAUCCUAACCCAUUUAUCUCUAUAAUCGAGAAUCACUAUCACUUGCCUGACAGAAAAAUAGACAACUGUGAUCUAGCUGCUUUCUGGAAUUAUUAGCAACUACAUUUUUUUUUAAAAAAAGUAAAAUUCUAAUUACCUCAUUAUCAUAGAAAGGAACAUCAAAAGCCCAGUCAGUAUAUUAGAAAAGCAUUUCAUGAUGAGGAAGAGGUAUGUCCUGGGCCACAACUCUUGUCAGUUUUGCUGGAUUUUUAAAUGACCAUUUCAGCCCUAUUGCUCCUUGACAGCUAUAUCUAAGAUAGCAGGGGUUUUUUAUUUAAAAAAAUCAGUCUUUCAAAAACAAAGCACAGGCUAAAAUUGUGGAUUCGCACAUGUCCAAGUGAUUCUAGAUGCCAUGCCUGGCUUUCAUACAGGCAUGCAUACAAUCAGAGUACUAAAGCAGAAAACAAUCUCAAAUAAUGCUGUGUAAUUGUGGACUGGUGUUUAAAUAAAGAUAAAGGCGAAAAGGAACUGUGGAUGAAGAACUUUGACCCACUAUAACAUUUAUAAUAUGGUAUUACCACCAUAAUACAGAAACAAUGUAGUUUCCCCAGCUUAAUUAAAGGCACUAUGCAUAUGGAAGCAGGAUGCCAUCUACAUCCCUAGCUAGAUGAGCAUGUGUAAUUAACUGUCAUGUGUAAGCCUGUUUGCCCCACUGUUAGAACACCCUCCGUCCGCAACAAAACAGAACUGUGGAGGGUGUUCUGCAAGGUCAAGGUCUUGCUGCUUGUCUGCUCUGCCCCAGGGCUGGGGAAGAUAAGAAUGCUGCACGCCAGAAAGCAUUCCUCUCACCAAGAGGCACAUUCCAGUGGUGAUGUUGCCACUUAUGCUUUCUGCCACCUGAGACCACCCUGCCUCAUGGGUGGGCUGGCUCUGAUGACAGAACAUACAUAAAAAUGCUGCACAAGUAUAUAGCAUCUAAACAAUCUCAUGAACUUUAAAAAUAAUAAUACGGUCAACAAAAUCACUUACAUACAGAUUCACACUACCCAAAUCUAAAUACACAACCUCCACAUACACAGUCACUCAACAAUCAGACUCUCCUUACACCACAACAUUGCUCCACCACUCAAUUCUCACUUUACUAAAAAUGCUCAAAACAUUUUAUUUUAUUGGCUGUGUUCAAGCAUCACACUAAACUAUAUUUUUAGUUUGACACAAAUAAGCCCAGGUGAACCUCAGGCUCACAAUCUACUUACCCUCUUUGCUCUAGUGCAGUUGUGAGGAGUUUGGAGGUUUCUGCUUACCCAGCUUCUUGUCAACUGGCUAACUGUGGUUAAUGUUAACUGUCAUUUCUCUGAAAGAAGUUAAUAUUAACCAGAUGACACAACAAGCUAUAUUUAAAGAAAAACAGAAGCAGAAGUUUCGAAACUCAUCUCCAAUGCCACACAAAAAGGGGUGGGGUAUGAAGCUCAUUCACAACAAAUAAUAGUUUGUUUAUUUAUAUUUGUAUCCCAGCUUUCCUCUAAAAAGCGCACAAAAGGGCAUACAUGGUUCUCCGUAUCUUCAAUUUAUCCUCACAACAAUCCUGUAAUGGUAGGCUGAGAUACAUUUUCCCCUAGGUCACCUGAUCUCUCCAGUCCUAGUCCAACACUACACCACAGUGAUACUCGUAGCACAGCAUAUUAAUGUUUGAGGUUCUACCUUCACUAUUUGAGGCACUAUACCUCUGUGUGGCUGUUGUUGGGAGUUGCAGGUGAGGAGAGUGCUGUUGAGCUCUGGUUCUGCUUCUGGGCAUCUACCCAAGGGCAUCUGUUUGGCCAAUGUGAGAGAAGACUGCUGAAUGAGACGGGCAUUUGGCCUGAUCCCGCAGGCUAAAGGAGGAUGAACCACAAUUACUGACAACAUCCAUAGAGACUAAGCAAACUUAGAUUUAAUGACAAGAAAUAGAAACAUUAUUUCCUCGGUCAAUAAGACUUACUUCUAAAUCUAGGGGCGCUCACAUAACAAACAACAGUCCAAUACUGAUUAAGCCUAUUUGUUAUGAUCCACAGCUGACAUAAUAAAGAGCAUCUAAGAAUAAGACUGUUGGCCUCAUGAAACAACCUCAGGCUGCACUACAACAAAACAAAUAGGGGUAAUCUACAGGACUACAAGUUAAGAAUACUGAUCGGAAAAUAUAGCUAUCUUGAAAAAAUGGAUUUCACUAAUCCAGAUUAUUGUUCCUUGGGG